rnacentral:lncRNA from 1 species
GCUUGAUAAAUGUUAUUAUCCUUGGUAACAACGUAUCAUUUGGUCACGAACAGGUUUAAGGACUAAAUGAUAAAUCCUCCUUUAUCGAGUCUAAAUAGUCCUAAGGACUUCACCACAACACAGGAGUUCAAUAGAAGAUAAAAUAAUUUGUGAUGAAAAAUAUCAAAAUAAUUUUUAUUAAUUUAUAAUUCAUAUACUAA